GCUGUGCCUUCUCCCCAACGGGGGUCAGCUUGCAACGCCUGCCCGGCGCACGCCGGGGACCCGGAAGCCGGACUCGGUGCCAGCCGCACGGGGCGAGUGUCUGGUGCGCGUGUUUGGUGCGCCCUCCCCUCGAUCCCGUCUCUGGGUCCCUGACCCAGGCUUCUGGGGCUAGCCUAUCUUCUGAGGAGCACAAGGUCCCUGGGGGCUCCGGGAAGGGAAAUUGGAGAAAGCGGGAGGAAGCCCCCAGGAUCGAUCACCCAUUGCCUGAUUUCACAGCCGCCUGUCUGCCUUCAGUUCUGAAGGCAGCUCGGGGAUCCUGGACCACUGAACCCCCCAAGCGCUUUCUCCCGAACCGAAGGAGGGCGACCAGGAAAGACUGGAACUCGCUUAGACACGCCCGGAAGCCCUUGUCAUGUAAAUAGCUGUCGGGGACUGUUGUAUUGUCACUGCUCCAGCCGGCGGGACCUGGGGCGAAUCCACACCCAUUGUCUGCCGCCCCGAGGGGCCACCGGUUGGGGCGCGCGGCUCCAGAGUCCUAAAGGGGUCUGGGCGGGAGGGUUGUACUUUUAUUUCAUUAAGUUUUAAUUACAGGAGUGCUACAAGAACACAUUCUUCUGGUUUAAAAAGAUAUUAAAAUAUUACAUAAGAGACCUCCCCUCCCUGGCCCACCUCCAGCCUCUUAAGAAUUUGGUGUGUCGCCUCUUAGACACUUUCUCAAAACUUCACUUAUUUAACAAGCACGUAAGGAGCACCUACCUGUGCCAAGAACUUUCCAGAUAUUCACUCAACCUGACACCCACUCGGUGUGGCCGAAGAUUACUAUCCCCAUUUUACAGAGCGGGAAGCUGGCCAGGGAAGUCUCUUGCUGAAGGUCACACAGUGGUGGAGCCUGUGUUCCCACCCGGACCCUGAGGUAGCUGCCUCUCCCUCUCCCCCAUAGUUGUGGUUCUUUAAAUAUCCACAUAUUCCUGUAAUGCCUGGAGUUUUCGUAAUUAGCAGGGACUUUGUGGUGUAUGUUCCGAGCAAAACAAACAAACAAAAAAAAGGCUUUUAAAAAUUAUUGUUACUGUGUUUGUAAUGGAUUGGAUAGAGAAGGAAAAGCUGGAAUUUGGGAAGUGAAGGAGGCCUCUCAGGAGAACUCACCUAGACCAGAGCGAAUUCAUCCUGAAGAAUUCAGAGAAAGCCCGUGCGGGAAGUGGUUCCGACUCUCCUUGCACCGCCACAGUCUCCAGAGCUCUCCCAGAAAGACUGGGAGACUUGUUCUGGAGACUUCAAGCCCAGGGAUGUGGCUCAGGCUGGUCCAGGCUCUUUGGAGGAGUCCAAGAGUGCCCAGCCUCAGAGGUUCAGAGGCACUGACCAUCAUCUUUUGGGAGGAGAAGCUCUCUUGGAGCCAUAGCCAACACUAGGUCAGGACCCAGGCCCUGGCCCAGGAGUGGGGCAAUACCCAGGGUCUACCCCAGAUGGCACUCUGCUGUGAACUGGGCACCCUCAGCCCCUGGCUUGAGGAAGGGGCAACGUCACCAGCAUGUCUUUCAUCAGGGAAGAUCUUGUUUUUGGCCUCUGCAACUUAAGAGAAAAGCUGAGGGGUCCUGGCAUCCCCUGGGGGGCAUGGCAAAUGCUGGCUGGGCCUGGAGAUGACCGUGGAUCCCAUUCAUUUCCUAGGGUGAAGGAAGUCAUCAUUACCACCCCUCCUUUCAGCCAUUUCUUUAUCAUUCAGUCAACAAACUCUGGCUGAGCUGCAACCCUGGGCUGGAGCAUGGGAUUCAGCCAUGCCAGACACAGCCCCUGCCCUCUGGGAAGUCUCCGGAGACCUGGCAAGUCUGGCUGGGAGAAAUCACACGUUGAUUGUCUUGGAAGUUAGACGGCAUUUACACAAUGGAGGCUGUACUGCCAGCAGGCAAAAAUAACCAGUUAAUUCAGUGGAUUAAAAAAAGCAAACCUACCCACAGCACUUGACCUCCCAUUGAUCUGUCUGCGACAACAGCAAUGGCUACCAUUUACUGAGUGCUGAUGGGGUCACCGGGGAUUGACUUAGUGGUCUCUGGCGCUAGUUCCAAAGUGGAUUCUGUCUGGAGAGAGAACACUGUCUGCAGUGUUCAGACCUGAGGGUCCAAAACGGAGGGUCACCGAAAGAUGAGUGGGACAGAGCUGUGCAACCUCAGCUGAGUGCUUUCACCUCUCCAAUCUGUUUCCUCUUCUGCAAAUGAGGUGGCUUCAUGGCACCUUCACAUGGUGUGAUUGUAAAGAAUGAAGGGAUCGAUGCCUUGCACGUGGGGGAGAAGAGGGCUGGAUACAUCUCAGUUGUUACGUUAUUUAAUCCUCUCGGCAACCCUGGGAGGGAGGAACCACCAUCAUUUUAUUUUACAUUUUACAGGUGAGGGGAAUGAUGAUUCCAGCACAGACAGCACCUCUGGCGGGGCAGCAGGAAAGGAGAAUGGCUUUGGAAGGAGCAUGGGCUGGACUGCCAGCACUCACAGGAGGCCUCGUGUGUGUCCAGGACUGCCAGAUUAAACACGGGACACCCAGUCAUUCAGCAGAUAUGCAUGGGGACCCUACGGUGCGCCAGGAAUGAGCUCACUGGAUCCCCACAACAGCCCUCUGAGGUCCAAGCAAACAUUCCCACUUGAUAUAUGGGGACACUGAGGCUCAGAUACCCAAGGAUGAGGUGGAGCUGGGAUGUGAAUCAGGUACUCGGAACCCAAAACCCAUGGGCUGACCUCAGCAAAUGGCGCCUUCUGCACCCUCUCCAACCUCACUACCUCUGACUGGGUCCUCCCUGGCCAUGCCGUUAGACUCAAGUAGCUCUGUCCCCUGUGGCUCCAUAAAAGCUCCCUGGGAACCACCAUUUGCCACCCCGCUGGUAGUGUUCGUUCAUAAAACCUCAUCUCCAAUGAUGAGAGGCAGCUGACUCUGCAGAGGAGUGAGGCUGGAGUGGCUGGACUGGUGAGAGAGGCCCCGCCAGCCCCUGCUCUGUGUCCAGCACGGGAGACCUUGGCGGGCUGCUUCAGCUCACUGAACCUGCGUCCCCACCACCACUGCACGGGGAGGCAUAGGCUUUCGCCAUGAGGGAGAGGCAGUGUGGGGAACCCUCAGCACAGGGUCCAGUGGCCCCCGGACAUGGCAUCUGUGAGUUCACUGUCCCCUCCACUUGACUGGUAGCUCCAGGGGGCAAGCCAGUUUGGCAUCUGGUGCCUCAGUUGGGGUCUGGCCUGCAAUGGGUGUUUGGAAAACCUCUGUGGAGGAAACGUGUGAGUGGCACCUACCCACAAAAACAUCCAAAUCCCAUUUUUGGCUGCCUUCAUGACUAGCUAACAAUUCUUCCCACUCGCUCACCCUCUCCACCUCCAACCGAGUAUCCUCUUCCAACCAAGUAUCCGGAAGCCAGUCACCUGGGCUAGCACCCACUGAGAAGACCAAGGAGUGCUCAUGUGGUAUCGACUGGAACCAGAAGUCUCAGCCAGAAAGACGUGUUGCGUAUGUAUGGUCUACACCGGGAGCUUCGGGGUGUAUAUGUGGAACAUACAUGUGGGAGAUACAUUGCAUGUAUUUGUGGGACAUACGUGUGCAUAUUCACGCUAAGGGGUGUAAGUAUGUGGGGGGUGUGUGCCAUCUGUGUUGAGGGUUUGAGGGUGCAUGUUGCAUUGUAUUAAUGUGUGGGGUACGCAUGUGAGUGUAUUCAUGGGGGGGUGUGUUGUGCGUGCAUAUGUGUGUGCGUGCACGUUUUCUUAGUUGCGUUGUGUGUGUUUAGGUGCUGAUACAGGAACUUAGCUGCUGGGCAAAUGUCAGAUGGUUGAGUUCUCCAACAGCAAGCCAAAGAAGCUUGGCUAAAUUGGCCACCGAUGACACCCCCACCUCCACCCCAGGGUGCCAUCCCAUUUUCUUCUCCGUCCAAUUGUUCAUUUCCAGCAGGGAACUGAAUUCUCCCGGAGAAGAUAGGGCUUUGGGGGCCAGGCAGGGAGAUAAGAAGUGGGCAGAAGGAGGGGACAGAGGAAAUAUUAGAGCCAAUUUUGUCUUCUGACAGAUGGGUAAACUAAAGCCCAGAGAUGGCCAUGAAUUGGAGAAGGUGGAGUAAAUGCGUGAGUAUUUACUCCAGUAAUACUGGUGCCAGUGAAAGGCAGAGUUGAGCGAGGAUCCGUCCAGUGCCUGACGGUGAUCCAGGCCCCACAGGCUCUUUGGUUAUGUUAAAUAGCUUAAUACACAGACCUUUCUACCACAGGUUGAGCUUGAGAGGGCAAUGGAAGAUUCCAGAUGUUUAACUCAUGUCUGAAACACUUUCAGAAAGAACUAUUAGUCAUUCAAGCUGAUUUCGUGGACCAGAAAUACCCAACCAAAAGGGUUUUGUGUCUGUCUUGUCAUGAAUGACACAUUGUUACUGUGGUUAGGGGUAUUUAAUAAUAUAAAACUGUGCUUCUCAAUGACACAAAAGAGAUUUAGGCAAGGCUGGCCUUUGGUGCUCUGCUGCUGGGUUUGAGGGGAAGCAGGUGGAGGGGGCUGGGUGUGACAGCAAAGGCCACGCUGAUCACAGAGGACUAGGAUGUGACUAUGUCUGCCUGGCUCUGUGCAGUGCCAAUGCCAGGCACCUCACCUGGCAGAGACUAUUCCAUACCUCAUGCCAGGCGUUGCAACAAGCUGUGGGGCACCACAGUGAUGAGCGCAGGCCAGCUCCACCUCCACGGUCUCCCCUCUGAUGGGCUUACUCAUUCAUCGACCCAUUGCCCCAAACACUGAAUUCUGCAUGCUGAAAACUGUGAGCUCAGGCAAGUAUAUGUCACUACUUCUGUGUGACCUUGCUGGAGAAAGUAACCAACUAUUCCCGGCCUCAGUUUCCUCAUCUUUUAAGUGGAGAUCUGGCUGGGUGCGGUAGCUACACCCGUAAUCCCAGCACUUUGGGAGGUGGGCGGAUCAUGAGGUCAAGAGAUCAAGACUAUCCUGGCCAACAUGGUGAAACCCCGUCUCUACUGAAAAUACAAAAAUUAGCUAGGCAUGGUGGCACACGCCUGUAGUCCCAGCUACUUGGGAGGCUGAGGCAGGAGAAUUACUUGAACCCAGGAGGCGGAGGUUGCAGUGAGCCGAGAUUGAGCCACUGCACUCCAGCCUGGUGACAGAGCGAGAUUCCAUCUCAAAAAAAAAAAAAAAAGUGAACAUCUGACAGGUAUCCACUCACAGGGUCACUGGAAGAAUUCUAUGGGGAACUCACGCAGGGCACUCAGCACUGGGCCUGGCUUGGAGCAAGCUCUUGACAAAGUUAAUCACAGUAGUUCCCCCAUCAUGCAGGGCUUCCCUUUCCAAGGUUUCAGUUACCCAUGGUCAGCCGAGGUCCAAAAAUAGUGGGUAUAGUACAGUAAGAUAUUUUGAGAGGGAGAGCGAGAGGGAGAGACCACAUCCACAUAAUUUUUAUUACAGUAUAUUGUUCUAAUUGUUCUAUUUUAUUGUUAGUUGUUGUUGUUAAUCUGUUGCUAUGCCUAAUUUAUAAAUCAAACCUUAUUGCAGGUAUCCAUGUGUAGGAAAAAAUAGUGUAUAGGUUUUGGUGCUGUCUGACGUUUCAGGCGUCCGCCGGAAGUCUUGGAACAUACCCCCCCACGUGUAGGAGGGGAGACUGCGUGCUGUGCACUCCAGGGGCUCCUCGUCCUGGUCAAAAUGCAAACGGACCCUUUUCUUCCCUUUGGAGAACUUAUUUUGUGUAUGAAUCUGUGAGUGGCUUUGUUCAGUGUCUUGCCCCAGCUAGACUGCGCCCUCGGCGUCCCCAGUGUCUUGUCUAGGAACGAAUGCUGAGAUGUCUGCAAGGUGUCCAGAAUGCCACGCGGGCACUGUGGGAAUCCAGGAGAACAGGGCGAGAUGGUGCCCAGCACUCUCCGCAAGGGGGUGGCACCAGGAAAACACUCUGUGCCCUUCACCUGCAUCUCCAUGCGAGGGAUGGAGACGCGGUUCUGUCCCUUCUGCACAGGGAGCACUCACUCUGGGUGAAUCUGUCAUCAGUUUGACACCAAUGAGAAUAGGUGUCCAAGAGCUGGCUUCAAAGGCAAUGAAACUGGCAUUGCAUCUUUGAAGGUGGCACGGGCUACAUGUCUUAUUCUCUUGUCCACAGCCCCUAGCAGUGACUGGCAUGUGGUCACACUGAAUAAGUAUUUGCUGAAGAAAUGACAUGCAAAACAAUCUUGCAAUGUGGACUAGUUCCUCAAAGCAUGUGCAUCUGCACCCAGUAGGUCCAUUUCUGCCGCAUAUCUUAAGGAAAUAAUCAGAGAAGUGAACGGAGUUUUAAGGAGGAUGUUGAUCUUCAUUUGUAAAAACAAAAGUGUAAUGAAAUUAAGAAAAACAAGUAGGGGAUGGGGAAAUAAAAGUCAGCGAUAAUGAAACUGUUCAAACUAGUGCUUGCAAAAAUCAUCUGAUGACAUAAAGUCCCAUAUAAACUGAAUGUAAAAACUGGCUGCAGAACUGAUCUCAACUUUGUACAAAAAUAUUAUUAGAAAAAGGAUAGAAAUGAUAUAUGAAUGCCAAAAUAGUAACAGUGAUCAGCUUUGUGUAAUGGAUUAAAUGCAAUAUAUUUCUCAUA